UCCCUGGUGGUCCAGUGGUUAGGGCCUUGCCUUCUGAGGCAGAGGGUGCAGGUUCAAUCCCCGUUUGGGGAA
rnacentral:tRNA from 1 species